GAGUGGAGAUUAUUUGAAAAUCAGGGAAGAGUACAGAAACUCGUAUAUUUUUGAAGAACUGAACAUUGCCUGAUUUUGCGCGGACCGAUUCUACUGGGCGAGCGUCUGACCGAACACUGACUUACUACACUGCCAGACACCGGUCUAAACGAAGCGAUACGAUAUGAGAAAAGAGAAAAGUCGUAGUUACCUGGAGAAGCUGAUAAUCCUAGGCAAUGAGGGCUCCGUGAUGCAGUGAUACUGGCAUGGCGCUUUCUGGUACGACACUGGAACUGUACUCGACUCGUGAAAUGUCCUACCUCGAAAGGUUCGUCUCCUGGACUGCCACCGUUCAGAAACCUACAUACACUCACACCUACUACCUGGUUGCUGGCACGCUAUUGAUCCUGGCCCAGACACCCGUCGACCCACGCAGACGCUUAGCGUUGCCGCGUCGCUUUAGCAACAUGACGUCAUUCGACUCCCCAAACCCCGUAUCGCAACGGAGCUAGUAUGAUGCAUCGUCCUUUUCUUCCUUCGUUUCGUACGGUUACCAUCACGAGCGCUACUAAUUCUCGCCUAACAUGUCCCACCUACCGUUCGUCUGACACUCGUACCUCUUCUACCUCCAAAUAUCAUGAUUUUCAACAUGACCGCAUCAAUUGACAUGUUCACACGUACCGAUAGAAUCAUAUAUAUUACCGUAAACAAAGGUUUCCAUAUUCUUUUCCCGAAUGUUUCCUGAUCAUUUCCAAAGUGCACGUUAUCGACGAUCAGACCUAUUCGGCAGAAUUUCAUGAAAAGAAUACUUUCGUUCGAUUAAUAUCGGAACGAUAUCGAAAUUUCCGAAAGCUAAAUCAAAUUCGAUCGUUUAUAUCGAUUGAUCGCACCGAUGUAUCUUAUAUAGAACGCUUUAAUUAUCGAUUAUUCUAAUGAUUUUUCGAGAGAAAUGCACCUUGAAUCAUUAAAAAUAAUUUUUCGAUUAUCGCAGAUUCUAGUAAGACAAAUAGAAUAGUAGAUCAUGGAAACUACGUAUAUGUCUAUAAAUUCAUCUUAUGUAAACGUAUUAUCACGUAGAACAUCAGCAUCAUAAACAUCAUAAAAUGCAAUUUUAAGAGCAAGAUAUACUUUAUUGUGACCUACAAAAAAAUUUGCUAGCAAUUUCAUAAACACAUGCAUAAGAAAGAAACAACACGUAUUUCAGUCUUUUACAUUUUUCUGAAUUUAUUUUAUUUACUUCAUAGAAUUACAUUCUAUACAGUAACUACACCUACAAAAUACGGAUAAAACAUAUUACUUAUCGAUCAAGGAUACAAUUUGACUGCGGAAUCCAUUGAUAGAAAAGAUUCUUCAUCAACUAAGUUGAUAAAAUCAUACGUAAUUAAUUGUUGAUGAAGAAAUUAAGAAAA